UACGGAGGGUGCGAGCGUUGUCCGGAAUUACUGGGCGUAAAGGGUCUGUAGGUGGCUUGCUAAGUCGAACGUGAAAUCCCUGGGCUCAACCCAGGAACUGCGUCCGAUACUGGUUGGCUUGAAUCCGGGAGAGGGAUGUGGAAUUCCAGGUGUAGCGGUGAAAUGCGUAGAUAUCUGGAGGAACACCGGUGGCGAAGGCGACAUCCUGGACCGGUAUUGACGCUGAGGCGCGAAAGCCAGGGGAGCAAACGGG
rnacentral:rRNA from 1 species